UAGAACAUUCUAGGAAGGAACCCUUUAGGUUGCCUCAUUGGUAGAAGUGUUCUAGUACAUUCUAGGAGGAAUCCUUAAUGUUACCUCAUUGGUAGAAGUGUUCUAGAACAUUCUAGGAGGAAUCCUUAAUGUUAGCUCAUUGGUAGAAGUGUUCUAGAACAUUCUAGGAGGAAUCCUUAAUGUUGCCUCAUUGGUAGAAGUGUUCUAGUACAUUCUAGGAGGAAUCCUUUAGGUUACCUCAUUGGUAGAAGUGUUCUAGUACAUUCUAGGAGGAAUCCUUAAUGUUACCUCAUUGGUAGAAGUGUUCUAGAACAUUCCAGGAGGAACCCUUUAGGUUACCUCAUUGGUAGAAGUGUUCUAGAACAUUCUAGGAGGAAUCCUUUAGGUUACCUCAUUGGUAGAAGUGUUCUAGAACAUUCUAGGAGGAAUCCUUUAGGUUACCUCAUUGGUAGAAGUGUUCUAGUACAUUCUAGGAGGAAUCCUUAAGGUUACCUCAUUGGUUGAAGUGUUCUAGAACAUUCUAAGAGGAACCCUUUAGGUUACCUCAUUGGUGGAAGUGUUCUAGAACAUUCUAGGAGGAACCCUUUAGGUUACCUCAUUGGUAGAAGUGUUCUAGAACAUUCUAGGAGGAACCCUUUAGGUUACCUCAUUGGUAGAAGUGUUCUAGAACAUUCUAGGAGGAACCCUUUAGGUUACCUCAUUGAUAGAAGUGUUCUAGAACAUUCUAGGAGGAACCCUUUAGGUUACCUCAUUGGUGGAAGUGUUCUAGAACAUUCUAGGAGGAACCCUUUAGGUUACCUCAUUGGUAGAAGUGUUCUAGAACAUUCUAGGAGGAACCCUUUAGGUUACCUCAUUGGUAGAAGUGUUCUAGAACAUUCUAGGAGGAACCCUUAAUGUUACCUCAUUGAUAGAAGUGUUCUAGAACAUUCUAGGAGGAACCCUUUAGGUUGCCUCAUUUGUUGAAGUGUUCUAGUUGCUGUUAGUUUUUUAGACACCAACUGAGGGACUGAGCAUCCCGAGGGGGGAGACAAAUAUCUGUUUAUAAAUUGUAGAAGGUAAGAACAUGUUUUUCUUGUUAUUAAAAACUGUGCUUCUCAUAAAAUUGUUAUAGUUUUUAGGUAAAGGGUUUAGGUAAAGACGCUGAAGGCAUCUCUCAAUUUAAUCCAAGGUACAUUUUUGCGUAUCAUCAAUUGGUGAUAUUGAUUGAUCAGUUUUUUCUUAUGCCUUUUUUCUGUAAUUUUGAAUAAACUUGCUUCAUUGUUCUGAAA